GACGAACGCUGGCGGCGUGCCUAAUACAUGCAAGUUGAGCGCUGAAGGUUGGUACUUGUACCCACUGGAUGAGCAGCGAACGGGUGAGUAACGCGUGGGGAAUCUGCCUUUGAGCGGGGGACAACAUUUGGAAACGAAUGCUAAUACCGCAUAAAAACUUUAAACACAAGUUUUAAGUUUGAAAGUUGCAAUUGCAUCACUCAAAGAUGAUCCCGCGUUGUAUUAGCUAGUUGGUGAGGUAAAGGCUCACCAAGGCGAUGAUACAUAGCCGACCUGAGAGGGUGAUCGGCCACAUUGGGACUGGGACACGGCCCAAACUCCUACGGGAGGCAGCAGUAGGGGAUCUUCGGCCAUGGACGAAAGUCUGACCGAGCAACGCCGCGUGAGUGAAGAAGGUUUUCGGAUCGUAAAACUCUGUUGGUAGAGAAGAACGUUGGUGGGAGUGGAAAGCUCAUCAAGUGACGGUAACUACCCAGAAAGGGACGGCUAACUACGUG
rnacentral:rRNA from 1 species